GCUUGAAACAACAACAAAAAAUGUCCAUAUCUAUAUUAAAAAUAACCCAACGAUUAACACUAUAACUCAGAAAAUAAAUUUGGUAGCAUGACAUUGCAUAAAAGACUAACAAACAGCUGCAGUGUAUGGGUGCAGCAAAGGUGUACUGGAAGAUCUGAGUAUGAUGACCUUAUUCAGACAUUCCUACAAUGUCAGGAAUGUCUGAACAAGUUCAGAAGUGCCUUUUCCCCGGCUGCCACUGUUGGUGAUAGGCCGAUAAAGCCGUUGAGUUUAACGUUCGACGUUAGAAGUUAAAUUACUUUCAAUUUCCAGUCCAUGUCCACGUCGGCCUAUGUAUCUGUAAACAGCUGUCCCAACUAUUGAAAACUGACGUUAUCAACACUAGUGUAUGGAAAUGUAAUACAGAAA